rnacentral:rRNA from 1 species
AUGAGCCUACGGGAGGCAGCAGUGGGGAAUAUUGGGCAAUGGGCGCAAGCCUGACCCAGCAACGCCGCGUGAAGGAAGAAGGCCCUCGGGUUGUAAACUUCUUUUAUUCGGGACGAAACAAAUGACGGUACCGAAUGAAUAAGCCACGGCUAACUACGUGCCAGCAGCCGCGGUAAUACGUAGGUGGCAAGCGUUAUCCGGAUUUACUGGGGGUAAAGGGCGUGUAGGCGGGAGGGCAAGUCAGACGUGAAAUUCCAGGGCUCAACCCUGGAACUGCGUUUGCAACUUUUCUUCUU